rnacentral:rRNA from 1 species
UACGUAGGGGGCAAGCGUUGUCCGGAAUCAUUGGGCGUAAAGAGCGUGUAGGCGGCCAGAAAAGUCCGCUGUGAAAACUCGAGGCUCAACUUCGAGCUGUCGGUGGAAACUUUCUGGCUAGAGUCCGGAAGAGGAGAAUGGAAUUCCUGGUGUAGCGGUGAAAUGCGCAGAUAUCAGGAAGAACACCCGUGGCGAAGGCGGUUCUCUGGACGGUACUGACGCUGAGACGCGAAAGCGUGGGAGCGAACAGG